rnacentral:rRNA from 1 species
CGCAUCUGUGCAUGCAGCAUAUCAAUAAGCGGAGAAAAGAAACUAACAAGGAUUCCCUUAGUAACGGCGAGUGAAGCGGGAAGAGCUCAAAUUUGAAAUCUUCAAGGUUUUACCUUGACGAAUUGUAGUUUAAAGAAGUGUUUUCUGUUGAAGUUUUGGUAAAAGUUCUUUGGAAUAGGACAUCAUAGAGGGUGAGAAUCCCGUAUUUGACCAUUAUUUUCAGCUGUGUGAUACACUUUCAAAGAGUCGGAUUGUUUGGGAAUGCAGUCCAAAAUGGGUGGUAAAUUUCAUCUAAAGCUAAAUAUUGGCGAGAGACCGAUAGCGAACAAGUACCGUGAGGGAAAGAUGAAAAGAACUUUGAAAAGAGAGUUAAACAGUACGUGAAAUUGUCAAAAGGGAAGCGUUUGACACCAGUGUUGUUUUUCUGAAAAUCAAUUAAAGAACUGUUUAUGCUAAGCUGUUUAGACUUUAUCAGCUAUCUGUUUAGUUUUGAGCUUUUCUUUAAUGCACUUUUCAGUUAACAAGUCAACAUCAAUUUCUUUUGCUGUAAAAAAGCUUGAGGAAGGUGGCUUGAGAUUCGUCUUAAGUGUUUAUAGCCUCUUGCCUAUGCAGUCGGAGAGAUUGAGGUCUGCAGCGUAGAUCCUUCGGGGCUAAAUGCAUUUGUGCUAAGUUAUAGCAUUUUAUAGACAACUUGUUGACUAUGAUUUGUCUUGUAGCUUACUCGCUUAUGUUAUUUUACCUACGCUUAGGAUGUUGACUGCAUAUCAAUAAGCGGAGGAAAAGUACCUACGCUUAGGAUGUUGAGUCAUCACACAUCUCU